GAGCACCAAUUAUGCUAAUAAAUUGGCACGUUAGCACGUUAUUGCAAUAUCCCAUAGUACAUACAUGUUAUUAAAACUUGAACUAAUGCAUUGUGAGUCUUAUAAAUUGCUUACAUACCUCACCGAUUUCCCACUGUCUGGAAAACGCUCGGUUUAGUUCCUGUCUCCGCCUCCCAAAAUGUCUAGUGUAAUCGGAUUGGUCAGAUGACUACUCAACUGUUAUUGGUCAGCUGGGUUCGGCUUGUGUUUGAAAGUUACGCCCCUGACUACGCGUGGGUUGACACAGAUUCUGACUGAGAGUCACAGCCUCAGAGGCAUCGUAAACAAGCGUUAUAUUUCUCUAUAAACGAUGGUGUCUGUACUGCCUUACCACUUCGAGCUCGAUCCAGAGAGUUCAGACGGCCGUUACGAUAUAAACGAUCUCCGUCAAUGAAUGCGAUUGGAUUUAACUUUUUUAGGUGUCCUUAGCUCUGCCAGAAUGCUAAACGAAGACGAAAAUGUGUUGCAAAGACAUCCAAAAGGUAAUUAUAACGUACUACAUAACUAUAUGGAAACACCAAAUGUAGCACAUAUAAAGUAUUUGUUGAAAUGAUUAUAAAACGAUUUCACUUGGUAAUUUCUACAUUAUUUUACUCUAGUAAAAUUUAUUAUAAGACUGCUUACAUACUGUAUUACUGUGCAAACUAUAUGGAAACACCAAAUGUAGCACAUAUAAAGUAUUUGUUGAAAUGAUUAUAAAAUGAUUUUACUUGGUAAUUUCUACAUUAUUUUACUCUAGUAAAAUUUAUUAUAAGACUGCUUACAUACUGUAUUACUGUGCAAACUAUAUGGAAACACCAAAUGUAGCACAUAGAAAGUAUUUGUUGAAAUGAUUAUAAAACGAUUUCACUUGGUAAUUUCUACAUUAUUUUACUCUAGUAAAAUUUAUUAUAAGACUGCUUACAUACUGUAUUACUGUGCAAACUAUAUGGAAACACCAAAUGUAGCACAUAUAAAGUAUUUGUUGAAAUGAUUAUAAAAUGAUUUUACUUGGUAAUUUCUACAUUAUUUUACUCUAGUAAAAUUUAUUAUAAGACUGCUUACAUACUGUAUUACUGUGCAAACUAUAUGGAAACACCAAAUGUUGCACAUAGAAAGUAUUUGUUGAAAUGAUUAUAAAACGAUUUCACUUGGUAAUUUCUACAUUAUUUUACUCUAGUAAAAUUUAUUAUAAGACUGCUUACAUACUGUAUUACUGUGCAAACUAUAUGGAAACACCAAAUGUAGCACAUAUAAAGUAUUUGUUGAAAUGAUUAUAAAACGAUUUCACUUGGUAAUUUCUACAUUAUUUUACUCUAGUAAAAUUAAUUAUAAAAUACUGCUUACAUACUAUUUUACUGUGCAAACUAUAUGGAAACAACAAAUGUAGCACAAAAAAAGUAUUAAUUGAAAUGAAUGUUAGUUCUACAUUAUUUUACUAUGGUAAACUUUAUUAUGAAAGACUGUGCUAUGUUUUUACUUACUAGGUUUUAAGGAGAAUGCAACAGGUUCCAGGGCCUCUUACCUGCGUGAUUCAUCAUCCAGGUUUUGCACAAAUUGUCUAAAUCCCUACACACAGAACAUUUAUUGUACCGACUAUAAGCCUUUGAGGCGCAGGACUAGAAUACGCUUGGAGCUUCCUGAUCGGAAUGUUGGCUUCCGACGACCCCUGCACUGAAGAUGGCAUGCAAUCACGUCCUCCUUUGAAGGUCUCUCAAACUGUGAUGCCAGGUCCAUUGGAAUCGGGGUUUCCUUCAGCUUAUCUUCAAAUACCUCAGCAAACACAAGCCUGAUCACAUCAUCCACAUAACUGUAGAAAUAUUGCGGUCAAAUCUUUUGUUUUGAUAAUUUAUUUCCCUGCUUCAUACAUUAAGUUUUUAAUUAUGAAUGUAUUUGAAAUAAAACAUUACUGCUUA